AACCAAAAACUGUCAUCUUGCUCUCAUUGGCCGCAAGAACUAAAGGCUUGGUGGUUGGUAAAGGAAUCAUAAAAAGUAGAGAUAGCAAAUAUGUGGUUCAAGGGGAUACAUUGGGUGACUCAUUUUGGGCAAUCAGUGUUCUAAAUGUUAGUAAACUUGGAUGUGAAGAACUGCCUCGACCAUUUGAAGAUAUCCAAACUGUAGAAGAUGCUAUUGGUCAUUGCAUUGCUUGGCCAUCUACUCAUGUUAAGAGAGUAAAAGAUGUUUCAAACUAAGGCAACAUGUCUUCUGAUCUUGCAAUGCAAGGAAAUUUCACAAAGUGUGACAAGAGAUCAGGGGAACUCAAAGUGCUGAUCAUUUCACAAGAGCAGAAGAGCAGUGUGUAUUAUUUUAAAUACUAUGCUAUUUAGUUUUUCGUGUGAUGUUGCCUAGCAAGGGGAGGUUAUCUCGUGCUCAGAACAUGUUUAGUUUUCUGUUUUUUCUUUCAUGAACAUCUAGCGCUCACACUUAGGUGUCGUGGUCUGUUUUUAAGUUCAGUAUUUGUGUUUCUUUUAUCAAUCAUUGAACCCUCUGUAUAUUUAU